rnacentral:rRNA from 1 species
GUAUGCAACCUACCUUGUACAGGAGUAUAGCUCGGGGAAACUCGAAUUAACCCUCCAUAAUAUGUUGGUGUGGCAUCACAUUAACAUUAAAUCUGAGGAGGUACAAGAUGGGCAUGCGUCUGAUUAGUUAGUUGGCGGUGUAACGGACCACCAAGACGAUGAUCAGUAGGGGACCUGAGAGGGUGAUCCCCCACACUGGCACUGAGAUACGGGCCAGACUCCUACGGGAGGCAGCAGUAGGGAAUAUUGGACAAUGGGUGAGAGCCUGAUCCAGCCAUGCCGCGUGCAGGAAGAAGGCGUUAUGCGUUGUAAACUGCUUUUGCCAGGGGAUAAAACGGGAAUGCGUUCCUAAUUGAAGGUACCUGGUGAAUAAGCCACGGCUAACUACGUGCCAGCAGCCGCGGUAAUACGUAGGUGGCAAGCGUUGUCCGGAUUUAUUGGGUUUAAAGGGUGCGUAGGCGGCCCUGUAAGUCAGUG